rnacentral:rRNA from 1 species
GGGAGGCUAUCCUGGAAGUCGAACGGUAGCACAGAGAGCUUGCUCUUGGGUGACGAGUGGCGGACGGGUGAGUAAUGUCUGGGAAACUGCCCGAUGGAGGGGGAUAACUACUGGAAACGGUAGCUAAUACCGCAUAACGUCGCAAGACCAAAGUGGGGGACCUUCGGGCCUCACACCAUCGGAUGUGCCCAGAUGGGAUUAGCUAGUAGGUGGGGUAAUGGCUCACCUAGGCGACGAUCCCUAGCUGGUCUGAGAGGAUGACCAGCCACACUGGAACUGAGACACGGUCCAGACUCCUACGGGAGGCAGCAGUGGGGAAUAUUGCACAAUGGGCGCAAGCCUGAUGCAGCCAUGCCGCGUGUAUGAAGAAGGCCUUCGGGUUGUAAAGUACUUUCAGCGAGGAGGAAGGCGUUGUGGUUAAUAACCGCAGCGAUUGACGUUACUCGCAGAAGAAGCACCGGCUAACUCCGUGCCAGCAGCCGCGGUAAUACGGAGGGUGCAAGCGUUAAUCGGAAUUACUGGGCGUAAAGCGCACGCAGGCGGUCUGUCAAGUCGGAUGUGAAAUCCCCGGGCUCAACCUGGGAACUGCAUUCGAAACUGGCAGGCUAGAGUCUUGUAGAGGGGGGUAGAAUUCCAGGUGUAGCGGUGAAAUGCGUAGAGAUCUGGAGGAAUACCGGUGGCGAAGGCGGCCCCCUGGACAAAGACUGACGCUCAGGUGCGAAAGCGUGGGGAGCAAACAGGAUUAGAUACCCUGGUAGUCCACGCCGUAAACGAUGUCGACUUGGAGGUUGUGCCCUUGAGGAGUGGCUUCCGGAGCUAACGCGUUAAGUCGACCGCCUGGGGAGUACGGCCGCAAGGUUAAAACUCAAAUGAAUUGACGGGGGCCCGCACAAGCGGUGGAGCAUGUGGUUUAAUUCGAUGCAACGCGAAGAACCUUACCUACUCUUGACUUCCAGAGAACUUAGCAGAGAUGCUUUUGUGCCUUCGGGAACUCUGAAACAGGUGCUGCAUGGUUGUCCCCAGCU